ACUCUGCCUUAUCUUUUGUUUUUUCUAAGGUUUCAUAUGCUUUUAAUUUUUCCUAAUUGCCCACGCAAAAAAUAUUGAUUUGUAUGUUAACCUUGUCAUUCUUCUUACUUCGGAUUUUUCACAUUCUUCUGAAUUCAUGAAACCUUUAAAAUUAUUUUCGUAAAAUACAUUCAAACAAUUACAUGGACAGGGCAUAUUUGAUAAUCCUAGGACUUCAGAAGAGUUUUCAGCAUGCUAGAAGAACCAAAUUGAAACAACUUGAAAGUUGAAAAAACAGUACGGGUUUUCUCUGCAUCAUCAAAAGCCUCUGAAGCUAUAUCUUCAAGUUGUUUGUCUUCGGGCUUUAUAAUAG